rnacentral:rRNA from 1 species
AUUGAACGCUGGCGGAAUGCUUUACACAUGCAAGUCGAACGGCAGCACGGGGCAACCUGGUGGCGAGUGGCGAACGGGUGAGUAAUACAUCGGAACGUGCCCAAUCGUGGGGGAUAACGUAGCGAAAGCUACGCUAAUACCGCAUACGAUCUACGGAUGAAAGCGGGGGAUCGCAAGACCUCGCGCGAAUGGAGCGGCCGAUGGCAGAUUAGGUAGUUGGUGGGGUAAAGGCUCACCAAGCCUGCGAUCUGUAGCUGGUCUGAGAGGACGACCAGCCACACUGGAACUGAGACACGGUCCAGACUCCUACGGGAGGCAGCAGUGGGGAAUUUUGGACAAUGGGCGCAAGCCUGAUCCAGCCAUUCCGCGUGCAGGAUGAAGGCCCUCGGGUUGUAAACUGCUUUUGUACGGAACGAAAAGGCUUUCUCUAAUACAGGGGGCUCAUGACGGUACCGUAAGAAUAAGCACCGGCUAACUACGUGCCAGCAGCCGCGGUAA